rnacentral:snRNA from 1 species
AUCGCUUCUCGGCCUUUUGGCUAAGAUCAAGUGUAGUAUCUGAAUCCAGCACUUACCCUAGCCCUCAUCUUCAGAUAAUCUCGUCCUCCAAAUAUGAUACAUUUAUAUAAUAAUAAAUAUAGAAGGAAACGGUUUUGUUCUUUAGCAAAGCCUGUAGUCUGUUACUCUAGCAAACUGUAGCUUUU